rnacentral:rRNA from 1 species
UACGGGGGGAGCAAGCGUUGUCCGGAAUCAUUGGGCGUAAAGCGCACGUAGGCGGCGCAGCAAGUCAGGGGUGAAAUCCCGGGGCUCAACCCCGGAACUGCCCUUGAAACUGCAGUGCUAGAAUCUUGGAGAGGCGAGUGGAAUUCCGAGUGUAGAGGUGAAAUUCGUAGAUAUUCGGAAGAACACCAGUGGCGAAGGCGACUCGCUGGACAAGUAUUGACGCUGAGGUGCGAAAGCGUGGGGAGCAAACAGG